AUAAUACUCCCUCUGUCCGGAAACACUUGUCAGAGGAAUGGAUGUACCUAGAUGUAUUUUAGUUCAAGAUACAUCCAUUUUUAUCCAUUUCUCCAACAAGUAUUUCCGGAUGGAGGGAGUAUUUA
rfam:Triticum aestivum genome assembly, contig: Triticum_aestivum_CS42_TGACv1_scaffold_306553_4AS